AGAAUGAAUUUUUACUAUAAUUGUAAUAAUUGUUUUAAUUAAUUUUUUAUUGGUUUAUCAUCAUUAACCUUAUAUGGUCGCAGGUGCGAGUAUGAGUAUAUAGGUACCAUAUAGAUACGGGGAUGAAGAUUAAAAUUGUAACCUGCGAACUAUGGGACUAGGUAUGACUAGCUCGUUGAGGAAAGAAAAAAAGAAAGGGGACAAAUGUACAAUGCUUUUGUGGCUCUCUAUUCCACUACUUGUACAAGAUUUUGUAGUUGAUGACAUUUUAUUUGUCUUUGCCUUUGUACAGUUGAAAUUCAAAUGUUAGAAUAAUUUCACAAUAUACAUCCAAAUGGAAAAUUCAAAUGAAAGAAUGUUCUAUGAGCGAAAUGUCCUUGAGAUGUUUUUCAUGUGCAGACAGGUUGUUUGGACAUUAACUGACAUAAUAUAAAUUAUUGUGUAAGUUAGUUA